GACAGAGGUGCCAAGCGUUAGGCGGAAUCACUGGGCUUAAAGCGUGUGUAGGCGGACUUGUAAGUACCUUGUGAAAUCCCACGGCUCACCCGUGGAACUGCUGGGUAUACUGCGAGUCUUGAGCCACUUAGGGGCGACCGGAACAAACGGUGGAGCGGUGAAAUGCGUAGAUAUCGUUUGGAACGCCAAUGGUGAAAACAGGUCGCUGGGAGUGCGCUGACGCUGAGACACGAAAGCCAGGGGAGCGAACGGG
rnacentral:rRNA from 1 species